UCUCAUAUUGCAUCGAUUUCUUCGGUGAUGCCUUCACAAAUUACACGAAAUCAACAUUGGAAAAAAACCGUGAAUACAAUUGAUAAAAUAAGCAUUCAACUUGGUGUGUUUUUACGCCGCUACCCUACUGCACGACUUAUGGUUGUUAUCUACAUGAUAAUCUUACAUAUUUGGGUGACCUUUGUUCUUUUAACAUACACACCUGAGAUUCAUUAAUAAUAACAGAUUUUCACAAUUAUUUAUUUAUGA
rnacentral:lncRNA from 1 species